UCCCUGGUGGCUCAGACGGUAAAGAAUCUGCCUGCAAUGCAGAAGACCCGGGUUCGAUCCCUGGGUGGGGAA
rnacentral:tRNA from 1 species